rnacentral:rRNA from 1 species
UACGGAGGGUGCAAGCGUUAUCCGGAUUCACUGGGUUUAAAGGGUGUGUAGGCGGAUAUUUAAGUCCGAGGUGAAAUCUCUGAGCUCAACUCAGAAACUGCCUUGGAUACUAUUUAUCUUGAAUAUCGUUGAGGUAGGCGGAAUAUGUCAUGUAGCGGUGAAAUGCUUAGAUAUGACAUAGAACACCGAUUGCGAAGGCAGCUUGCUAAACGAUUAUUGACGCUGAGGCACGAAAGCGUGGGGAGCGAACAGG